rnacentral:rRNA from 1 species
UAAUACCGGAUAGUUCCUUGAACCGCAUGGUUCAAGGAUGAAAGACGGUUUCGGCUGUCACUUACAGAUGGACCCGCGGCGCAUUAGCUAGUUGGUGGGGUAAUGGCUCACCAAGGCGACGAUGCGUAGCCGACCUGAGAGGGUGAUCGGCCACACUGGGACUGAGACACGGCCCAGACUCCUACGGGAGGCAGCAGUAGGGAAUCUUCCGCAAUGGACGAAAGUCUGACGGAGCAACGCCGCGUGAGUGAUGAAGGUUUUCGGAUCGUAAAGCUCUGUUGUUAGGGAAGAACAAGUGCGAGAGUAACUGCUCGCACCUUGACGGUACCUAACCAGAAAGCCACGGCUAACUACGUGCCAGCAGCCGCGGUAAUACGUAGGUGGCAAGCGUUGUCCGGAAUUAUUGGGCGUAAAGGGCUCGCAGGCGGUUUCUUAAGUCUGAUGUGAAAGCCCCCGGCUCAACCGGGGAGGGUCAUUGGAAACUGGGAAACUUGAGUGCAGAAGAGGAGAGUGGAAUUCCACGUGUAGCGGUGAAAUGCGUAGAGAUGUGGAGGAACACCAGUGGCGAAGGCGACUCUCUGGUCUGUAACUGACGCUGAGGAGCGAAAGCGUGGGGAGCGAACAGGAUUAGAUACCCUGGUAGUCCACGCCGUAAACGAUGAGUGCUAAGUGUUAGGGGGUUUCCGCCCCUUAGUGCUGCAGCUAACGCAUUAAGCACUCCGCCUGGGGAGUACGGUCGCAAGACUGAAACUCAAAGGAAUUGACGGGGGCCCGCACAAGCGGUGGAGCAUGUGGUUUAAUUCGAAGCAACGCGAAGAACCUUACCAGGUCUUGACAUCCUCUGACAACCCUAGAGAUAGGGCUUUCCCUUCGGGGACAGAGUGACAGGUGGUGCAUGGUUGUCGUCAGCUCGUGUCGUGAGAUGUUGGGUUAAGUCCCGCAACGAGCGCAACCCUUGAUCUUAGUUGCCAGCAUUUAGUUGGGCACUCUAAGGUGACUGCCGGUGACAAACCGGAGGAAGGUGGGGAUGACGUCAAAUCAUCAUGCCCCUUAUGACCUGGGCUACACACGUGCUACAAUGGACAGA